UGCCUAUAAAGCAGGGGUGCUGCUCAGUUACUCGACAGAUUGUGGUUACCUCAGCAUUCAAUAGCUCCUCCAGCCAGAUUGAAUUCUCUGGUGAUCACAGGGUCCUAGAGAGAAAUUAGAUUUCCUCUGCCAUCAUGUGAGAAAGACAUGGAAGGCACUGGAUUCAAAUGAGGAAAAUCUGCUAAAGAAAUUCAGCAUGGGAGGAAUUGUUACUAUGCUACUCCUGCAACUCUAAAAUUUUGCCUUAAAAGGAAUACUUGGAGAACUUACCCAAGAGAUGAGGAAUGGGAGGGAAGUACUGAAGGUACCUUCCACCUGAGCCUCCCUGAUAAACCAGUAGCAUGAAAAGAGACCAUCUUCCACAGCAACUAUUCAUGGGCAACUGCAGAAAACCCCUGUGGUAGGG